GCAACUCUAUUUUUUUCACUUUUUUGUUAGUGGGGCCUCAUGUUUGAGUUUCGCCUAAGGCCUCAUAAAGUCUAGACCUGCCUCUGCAAAAGGAGCCUCAGAAGAAAAAGAAGACUGUCAAAUGAAGGAGAAGAAAAUGAGAUUGGAGCACUUCAUUCUGGACAGCACAUCAUAAGGCUUUGGUACCUGGGCCUGGCAGGGAAACUUUGGACCUUCUCAUCUCCCCAGGUAAAAAAAAAAUUAUCAGUGUUAAUGUGUUCACUUUAAUUUACUGAGUGUCAGGAAACACAGAGGGUCACUGGGUAGGGGUGCCGCUGAUUGGCUAGAGGGUCAGCUGGCACUCUAAGCCAAUCAGUAGCUCCCCAUUCAUGAAAACGUAAAACAUUUUUAUGAAUCGGGAACUAGCGAUUGGCUUAGAGCGUCAGCUGACCACUCUAGCCUGACGUCAAUUUGCAGUUCCUGACACUCCGUUUAAGAAGCUGAAUACCACUGAGCGACCUGGAGAUCUGGAGCUGGAGGGAGCCUUUGGGGGUAAACCAUUCAAGAGUGGUUUCACCCUAUAAAGGAAAGACAGCGCCCAGGGGCCUCCUUGCAUCAUAGCAUUUUCAUUUAGUUGAAGUUGUUAUGGUGACCAGAAUGUUCCUUUAAUUUGAUUAAAGGAACAUUAUAGUGUCAGGAAUACAAACAUAUAUUCCUGACACCAUAGUUGUAAAAAAGCUAUUCAUACUGGCUUUAUGUGAAAAUGACUAUGCUCCUUCCCUUUCAUGACACUAUCAUAAGGGAUAGACAGUUCAUUGUUUUUACACAACCAUUUUUUGGAAUCUAAUACCCUUUAUAUUCUCAUUUCAAUUUAACCAGAUUCAUCAAGACACCAAAGACUCCAUUCAAGAUGUCAUCAUCGUCUUGUCAUGGAAGAUUGUCACUUGACAUCGAGAAGUCUUCGCUUGGAGACUAUCUGUUUAUGUUCAGUUUACACGUUGUUCUACCACUAUCUUACCAUGGACCUUUACGAGCUAUCUGCUAUUCUGCAUUGUGAUAUUGUGAUGUUGCAUGCUUUAAGAGGAAAUGAUGUCAUAUGUUACACCUCUUAUACUCUAUACUGC